UUGAAGACCUAUGCAGAUCAUCUUGGUUUUGAUCUUCUUUCUCCUCCUUUCUGUUCUUGUGAAGCAGGCCAUCCAUUGCCGUUCGCAAGCAGAACAGAUGCACGGUACCUUUGCAUUUCUAAUUUCCCCAUGGCUGUCAAGCAGACCAAAGCAAAGCCAGUAAAUGAUGUCUCUGAAACUGAGAGGUGGUUUGGAAGCACAUAG
rnacentral:misc_RNA from 1 species